GCUACAGUUGUGCAUUUCAAAUUAUGUACAACAGCAGUACGGUGGCCUCGGCUACUCUGACUCGACGGAAAGAGAAUGUAGAGAAAUAACAGUAAAUUUGGAACACCCGUAAGAGGCCAAAUGUGUUGAGACCCACCAGACACAAGACAGCAAGUGGAAUCUGCUCUAAAGGCAGGCAGGAAGAAAUUCUGUGGUGUGGUGGAGAAAGGAAAAAUAAGAGAAGACCUGGACCAAUAUUAAGAAAAUACAGGAUGGGGAUCUUAUGGGGAUGACAGAGACAGACACUUCUCUGAGAUGCACAGUCAGAUGACAAAAGACAACACUUGGAGUGUUCAACAUACAAAAUGCCAAUUACAUGAAAGUAGAAAAGAGCUCACAGUGAUAGUUGUUUACUACCAGAAGCUGCUGAAUUUCAUAUCCUUUUCAUCCAGGGCUCAUGCAGGAUCCUGAGUAAAUCUGCCAAAAUUUGAAACUGCCCUUCUUGAAAAGGAGGCUGGAAGAGAAGUUCCUUCAUGUAAUUUUCUAAAAUUCUGUAUUUUCUGUGACAGCAUGCUAAACCAGUUAAACACCAGAAAUUUAUGCUCUGAAAAAAUAGUACAGCUUUCACAAAGGUGAUUCUUCACAAAAACAUCCUGUACUAUCAAAUCUCUAUUAUCCCAGUCUUCCAUCUUCUUGCCUCCUGAAAUGCCCAGAAAAAAAAAAAAGUGUUUUCACAGAAAAUACAUAAGGAAAAGCUUUGGUUUACCAGAUACUGUACGGCAUAUAAUACUUUCCAAAAACUGAAUUCCUCAAAUACCUAGUUUAUCAGGAGAUGUCAGCUUUUGCAUUGAUAUUUUCCCCUAGUAUAACAUUUUCACCCUUUCAACAGUAUGACUGCACUUUGAAUUCUAUAAUGUUUACAGUAAGUUGCAAUUCAAGUUUUCAACUACAGUAAUUUCACGACCAUAAGGCACACCGGACUAUAAGGCGCAC